rnacentral:rRNA from 1 species
CCAUGCCUUCGCAAAGGGCUAUGCACCUUGAUCAUUCUCACUACUUGGGCAAUUUGGAAGCACCGGAAUGCCGCACCCUUCGACGAUGCUAUCCCUUCUCACACCAAGUUUAUUGACGACAUCAAGCAGGAUGCUUUGCUAUGGGCUAGAGCUGGCGCGAAGGGCUUGAUAGAACACUUCCUGUAG